GAUGAAGAACGUAGUGAAAUGCGAUACGUAAUGUGAAUUGCAGAAUUCAGUGAAUCAUCGAGUCUUUGAACGCACAUUGCGCCCCCUGGUAGUCCGGGGGGCAUGCCUGUCCGAGCGUCAUUGCUGCCCUCAAGCACGGCUUGUGUGUUGGGCCUCCGUCCUCCUCCCGGGGGACGGGCCCGAAAGGCAGCGGCGGCACCGCGUCCGGUCCUCGAGCGUAUGGGGCUUCGUCACCCGCUCUUGUAGGCCCGGCCGGCGCUUGCCGACACAUCAAUCUUUUUUCCAGGUUGACCUCGGAUCAGGUAGGGAUACCCGCUGAACUUAAGCAUAUCAAUAAGCGGAGGA
rnacentral:misc_RNA from 1 species